rnacentral:rRNA from 1 species
AGCGGAGGAAAAGAAACCAACAGGGAUUGCCCCAGUAACGGCGAGUGAAGCGGCAACAGCUCAAAUUUGAAAUCUGGCCCCGGGCCCGAGUUGUAAUUUGCAGAGGAUGCUUUUGGUGACGCGCCUACCGAGUCCCCUGGAACGGGGCGCCACAGAGGGUGAGAGCCCCGUAUGGUUUGACGCCGAGCCUCUGUAAAGCUCCUUCGACGAGUCGAGUAGUUUGGGAAUGCUGCUCUAAAUGGGAGGUAAAUUUCUUCUAAAGCUAAAUACCGGCCAGAGACCGAUAGCGCACAAGUAGAGUGAUCGAAAGAUGAAAAGCACUUUGAAAAGAGGGUUAAAUAGCACGUGAAAUUGUUGAAAGGGAAGCGCUCGUGACCAGACUUGCGCCGGGCGGAUCAUCCAGCGUUCUCGCUGGUGCACUCCGCCCGGCUCAGGCCAGCAUCGGUUUUCGCCGGGGGACAAAAGCACCGGGAAUGUGGCUCCCCUCGGGGAGUGUUAUAGCCCGGCGCGCAAUACCCCGGCGGGGACCGAGGACCGCGUUUCGGCAAGGAUGCUGGCGUAAUGGUCAUCAGCGACCCGUCUUGAAACACGGACCGAGGAGUCAAGCAUUAGUGCGAGUGUUUGGGUGUAAAACCCGCACGCGUAAUGAAAGUGAACGUAGGUGAGAGCUUCGGCGCAUCAUCGACCGAUCCUGAUGUUUUCGGAUGGAUUUGAGUAGGAGCAUUAACGCUUGGACCCGAAAGAUGGUGAACUAUACUUGAAUAGGGUGAAGCCAGAGGAAACUCUGGUGGAGGCUCGCAGCGGUUCUGACGUGCAAAUCGAUCGUCAAAUUUGAGUAUAGGGGCGAAAGACUAAUCGAACCAUCUAGUAGCUGGUACCGCA